CGAGGGUUUUUGAAGGGUUUGGCGGUGAGGUCACAAUUUGAGGUGGCGGUGUGAAGCGAUUGUGGACGGUGAUAAGGGUGAAGGGUGGUGAAGGCGAGCGAUUGAGGGUUUGUUUAGGGUUGAGCGGAAGUAAGGGUUUUUUUUGGGUAGAUGAAGAAGCGAUGAAGGGUUUGCGUGUGGAUGACGGCGGAUGUUGAUGGUGGCGGAUUUGAGAGUGAUUUUUGAGUGAGAGAGAGGCGUAGGGUUUUGGAAUAAUUGUGAGAGUAGUGUUUUCUGUGAGAGAGAAAAUGUGGAGAGUGAGUUUUGUGAGUGAUGAGUCCCCUUUUAUGAUGAGAGUGAGGUGAUUAGUAGUGGAGAGUGAGUG
rnacentral:lncRNA from 1 species